GGCAAAGUAGCCAAGCGGUCUAAGGCGCCAGGUUCAGGUCCACCUGAAUUAGCAAUUAAGCAUCCUGGUCUCAGAAAUGGGGCGCGAGUCCGAAUCUCGUCUUUGUCA